GUGAUUACGGGUGAAAGCCUGAGGAAAGUCCGGACUCCUAAGAGCAUGGUAGUGGGUAACACCCACCCAGGGCAACCUGCGGGAAAGUGCCACAGAAACGAAACCGCCAUUUGAUGGUAAGGAUGAAACGGUGAGGUAAGAGCUCACCAGCAAGUUGGUGACAGCUUGGCUGAGGUAAACCCUGCCUGGAGCAAGGUGCUGAUGAGGAAGCUCUGCCUUUGAUUCAGCAAGAAGACCGCGAGAGGUUACUGGUAACAGUAACCGCAGAUAGAUAAUCACACAAAUACAGAAUCCGGCUUACAGACUCACCCU
rnacentral:RNase_P_RNA from 1 species